rnacentral:rRNA from 1 species
CCCCGUCAGGAUGAACGCUAGCGGGAGGCCUAACACAUGCAAGCCGAGCGGUAGAGAUCUUUCGGGAUCUUGAGAGCGGCGUACGGGUGCGGAACACGUGUGCAACCUGCCUUUAUCAGGGGGAUAGCCUUUCGAAAGGAAGAUUAAUACCCCAUAAUAUAUUGAGUGGCAUCACUUAAUAUUGAAAACUCCGGUGGAUAGAGAUGGGCACGCGCAAGAUUAGAUAGUUGGUGAGGUAACGGCUCACCAAGUCUGCGAUCUUUAGGGGGCCUGAGAGGGUGAUCCCCCACACUGGUACUGAGACACGGACCAGACUCCUACGGGAGGCAGCAGUGAGGAAUAUUGGACAAUGGGUGCGAGCCUGAUCCAGCCAUCCCGCGUGAAGGACGACGGCCCUAUGGGUUGUAAACUUCUUUUGUAUAGGGAUAAACCUACUCUCGUGAGAGUAGCUGAAGGUACUAUACGAAUAAGCACCGGCUAACUCCGUGCCAGCAGCCGCGGUAAUACGGAGGGUGCAAGCGUUAUCCGGAUUUAUUGGGUUUAAAGGGUCCGUAGGCGGAUCUGUAAGUCAGUGGUGAAAUCUCACAGCUUAACUGUGAAACUGCCAUUGAUACUGCAGGUCUUGAGUGUUGUUGAAGUAGCUGGAAUAAGUAGUGUAGCGGUGAAAUGCAUAGAUAUUACUUAGAACACCAAUUGCGAAGGCAGGUUACUAAGCAACAACUGACGC